rnacentral:pre_miRNA from 11 species
AAUUUGGAAUUCAAACAGAUACGUGCUGCGUAGCCUCUCCUAGGCUUUGUCUUGUGAACGACGGAAUUUUUAUAUUUUCGUCGGGAAAAACUGAAAUUCUAGACAACGUCUCGGAGAGCGCUUCGCAGAGAGUAUUGACUGUCAACAUUCCAGAA